rnacentral:rRNA from 1 species
UACGUAGGGGGCGAGCGUUGUCCGGAUUUAUUGGGCGUAAAGAGCGUGUAGGCGGCCAGGUAGGUCUGCUGUGAAAACUCGAGGCUCAACCUCGAGACGUCGGCGGAAACCAUCUGGCUAGAGUCCGGAAGAGGAGAGUGGAAUUCCUGGUGUAGCGGUGAAAUGCGCAGAUAUCAGGAAGAACACCCGUGGCGAAGGCGGCUCUCUGGGACGGUACUGACGCUGAGACGCGAAAGCUAGAGGAGCAACGGG